CUGUUUCAGAUUCUGUCUCCCUCUUCCUCUGCUCCUCCCCUGCUCACGUUCUGUCUUUGAAAAAUAAUAAACCUUGAAAAAAGUUAAAAAAAAAAAAAAAAAGUUGGUGCAGCCCAGCCCACAAACUCCACAUUUUCAGUCUCCCCAUAGGCAUGGGAAGAGUGGAAGAGAAAGAAAGCCGGCUUAGGGAAUUUGGAAAGAAGGGGAGAGAGCGGAAGGUACCAAAAUGUGUUACUUCUUAAACAUCUUUUAUGGGUUAUUGAGCGGGGAAAACGUUUCUGUCUUUUUUUUUAAUGAAUACUCAACAUAUGCCCAACAAAUUUAGCAUUCUGUGCUAUUACCUGUCAUAUGGCCCAGACAGGAUGUUCUUUGGAAGACACCUUAAAAGGAAAGUCAUUUUUCACCCGGAUAGGGAUCAUUUUGUCAAACAGGAGGAACUGAAGGUAGAUCUUAGUAAAUAAGGGAACAGUCUGGUGGACGGAACAGAAUGUACGAAGAAGCCGAGAAGAUAAGCAAGUUUUAAGAAUAAGGAAGUUUUCUCUUAUGAUACCUGUGACGUAUAGAAAUAUGAUAAAAUAUUCCUUUGCAAACAAAUUGAAACCUCUAACUUGUCUCCCUACAUGAACCCUCCAGAAUUCAGAAACUCUCAAGAGUGCACGCACAAAUGGCGGAGGAGCAGAGCGAGAAGAAGAGAGAGAAUCCCAAGCAGGCUCCAUGCUGUCAGUGCCAAGUCCAACGGAGGGCUCAGUCCUAUGAACCAUGAGAUCAUGACCUGAGCCAGAAAUCAAGAGUUGGACACCCAACCGACUGAGCCACCCAGGUGUGUCUUCAUCUUUUCUGGAUGGUCAAUAAAUAACUUGGAAUCAACGCUCUUGGACAAAUACUGAACAAAUGAAAACUGCAAUAAAACACCUCGACUAAGAACCUUAUUACAUCAAGCACUAUCAACAUACUUUUAUAAAUAUCCAUUUAUUGUUAACGAUCCUAUAAAUUAUAAGUUAUUCCCAUUUUGCAAAUGAGAAAAAUUGGGAGUGGACAUAUUCAAUAAUGUCCCCAAAGUCUUUAAGUGACAAAGCUAGGAUUUGAAGUUACAUCUGCUGGACUAUGUCUUCAUCAAAUGCUGUGUUCAAUAUUAACUUUGUUAUGUGUCUUGCUAACUUACGUUGACAACAGGAAGAAAGCUGAGAUGUUAUAAGAGGAAAGAAUUUUCCGUGGGCUAUAAUAAACUCUGAGUGGGGUUGGGAGUGCUCAUCAGGUGAACAUGAUUGUGAACAACUGAGAAUAUCAUCAAAGAUGAUCACCAUGAAAGAAGAAGGGCAAAGGAGAGGCUGAAAGAGAGUUUGCUUUUUGCUUUAUCAGAUGGAGGACUGUGCCCUAGAAAGAAUUGUGGGAGGAAGCUCUGGAAAGUAUUUUUUUCUUUUAAAGAUCAGUGAGGUAGUGCAGCUUUUCUUUUUUCAUCUUGUAAAUUAAAACAAAAAAAAAAAGCACCAACCAACAAUAUACCCUA